rnacentral:rRNA from 1 species
UAACCUGCCUUGUAUGGGGAAUAACAGCUGGAAACAGCUGCUAAUACCGCAUAAUGCAGUUGGGUCGCAUGGCUCUGACUGCCAAAGAUUUAUCGCUCUGAGAUGGACUCGCGUCUGAUUAGCUAGUUGGUGGGGCAACGGCCCACCAAGGCGACGAUCAGUAGCCGGACUGAGAGGUUGCCGGCCACAUUGGGACUGAGACACGGCCCAGACUCCUACGGGAGGCAGCAG